rnacentral:lncRNA from 1 species
UUCAGCUCAAAUUUAGCCCGUCUGGUUCAUGAACCAAGUUCAACAAGCAAAUUAUUGAGUCGAGUUCCGAACCAUAUUCGAUUUGGUUCGCUUCAUUGCUAACCUUAUUUCCAAUAUUAAGAGAGAGAAGGACAAUUUAAAUAAUUUUAUUUUUUGCCUUAUUUCAUUUGAUUAUGAUCAUCUUAGUGUACACAUCUAUAAUUACAAGGUAUGUGGAAAUAUUAAAAGAAAAAAAAUUCAAAUUAUCGGGUGCCAAGGCAAUAACUAAAUUAUCAAUCAUGGAAUUUUGUAGCAGAAUUUUAUGGGAACAUUGCUCAUAUACAUGCACAAAAGCCCUCUUUUUUGGAAAAGAAUAAAAAUUUUGGUUUUAAACACUUUGGUUCGAAAGGAUACUCACACAACUCAUUUGGGCAACCAUUGGCAUUUUUACAGUUAACACGAUCUAUUGUAAUGUAUGGUUUCAAAGGAAACUCACACAACUUGUUUUGGCAACCAUAGCCUUCUUUACAUUUAACACGACCUUUGUAAUGAAAAAAGAGAGUAAAUGAAUGUUAGUUGAAUGUGAUAAAAUAUCAUCUAGAAAGUAUUUAAGGAAAUUCUAGAAGGAAAAAUAUGACUUACCUUCAACGUUCAUUACAACAAGAAAUAGAAAAAUAAAGAUAAUUAUAACACAAUCAUACUUCACAUUUUCAACCAUAUUUUUC